rnacentral:rRNA from 1 species
GACGAACGCUGGCGGCGUGCUUAACACAUGCAAGUCGAACGGAAAGGCCCUGCUUGCAGGGUACUCGAGUGGCGAACGGGUGAGUAACACGUGGGUGAUCUGCCCUGCACUUCGGGAUAAGCCUGGGAAACUGGGUCUAAUACCGGAUAGGAGCCAUUUUUAGUGUGAUGGUUGGAAAGUUUUUUCGGUGUAGGAUGAGCUCGCGGCCUAUCAGCUUGUUGGUGGGGUAAUGGCCUACCAAGGCGGCGACGGGUAGCCGGCCUGAGAGGGUGGACGGCCACAUUGGGACUGAGAUACGGCCCAGACUCCUACGGGAGGCAGCAGUGGGGAAUAUUGCACAAUGGGCGCAAGCCUGAUGCAGCGACGCCGCGUUGGGGAUGACGGCCUUCGGGUUGUAAACUCCUUUCGCUAGGGACGAAGCUUUUUGUGACGGUACCUAGAUAAGAAGCACCGGCUAACUACGUG